rnacentral:sRNA from 1 species
UUGGACAACAGAGCGAGACUCCAUCUCUGAAAAAUAAAAAACCAGAAAAUGUGAGCCUGGCCUUUUUUCAGGGUUACAACUUCUCGUCAUCACAGUCCAUCACAACCUGGGUGACGUUAGCUGGAUGUGGCCCCGCCCCGAUUUCCAUGAGACUCCUCCUGAACAAUGUUUCCAAGGAGUUGAGCUCCUGAGCCUGGUGCUGAUGAAUUGUAUUGGAGACAGUCCUCAGCGCUGAGUGUGUGUAACGAGUGUCCUCUCUCCACAGGUGCGGUCUGCCUGCAGCCUUUCUGCCACUUGUACUGGGGCUGCACCCGGACCGGCUGCUUCGGCUGCCUGGCCCCGUUCUGUGGUAAUACCGGCUCUUCAGACCCCAGUUGCUUUGACCUUUGCAUGUUCUUUUGGUGAACUUGAGGGCAGGGGAUGGUGGGAUCCAUAGCCUGAUGUUUAUAGGGAUGAGGCCACUGUUGGUCAUCAAAUGAUACCUAUUCCUGGCUGAACUGCAGAGGCGUGUCAAAUUCGUGUUAGCUCAAAAUCAAGCCUUAACAGAAGGAUUAGGGGAGAUACUCCCAGGACAGAAUCCUUGCUGCGGGGUUCUGCUGUCACGAUACCAGACCAGGUGCUGGGGAGACGUGGAGAGCUGAUCUUUUUAAGGAGGGAGUGGAAUGGAAAUCAUUUCUACUUGUCCUCUGUUUAAAAUUGAGUUUUAUCAUUGAACUUCUUAUUGUUUCUAGAAUCUGUAAUGAAAAGAAAUAUGUUUAUCCUCAGUGUCGGGCAGACAGUGCUUUCCUGCGACAUCAUUAUAAACAGGUAACAUUGCCCCUUCAUCUCGGCAGAGCUCAACCUGGGUGACAAGUGUCUGGACGGCGUGCUGAACAACAACAGCUACGAGUCAGACAUCCUGAAGAAUUACCUGGCAACCAGAGGUUUGACAUGGAAAAACAUGUUGACCGAGAGUCUCGUGGCUCUCCAGCGGGGAGUGUUUCUGCUGUCUGAUUACAGAGUCACGGGAGACACCAUUCUGUGUUACUGCUGUGGCCUGCGCAGCUUCCGCGAGCUGACCUAUCAGUAUCGGCAGAACAUUCCUGCUUCCGAGUUGCCAGUGGCCGUAACAUCCCGUCCUGACUGCUACUGGGGCCGUAACUGCCGCACUCAGGUGAAAGCUCACCAUGCCAUGAAAUUCAAUCAUAUCUGUGAACAGACAAGGUUCAAAAACUAAGCAUCCAGAGGCCCCGAGCAGCUUUCAGCACUGGAGGUGAAGAGAGCGUGUUUUUAAAAUACAGAGAUAAACACGUCAAGGUGUUUUCACAGCCCCCUGAGGGAAGGGACGCAGGGUCUCCGACAGGUGCUCUGGGGUGACUCUUCUGUGGAGCUUUACCCUCCGAGUGAGACCCUUCCCAGAGCCCCGGGGGCCGCAGCCCGCCCUCCUGGUGAGCGCUGGGCGGGGCUCAUGGUGGCAUCAGCAGCAGAGACGAAGCCUUUCCGUAACCUGCGGCCGUCCUGCCAAGAGGGGCAGUUUUGCUCUUUUGUACGUUUUCCGUAACUACAGUUAAAGCAGAAGUCUGUUUUCAGGAAAAGUUUCAAGGGAGAAAGGGGCGAGUUUAUCAAAAACAUUGUUUCAGGAGAAGGGAGCAUAAGUUUACAGCCUACAGGAUGUACACAAUAUUCUGCUGUUGGGAAAACCACAGCAUUUUAUAUAUUUUUUAUUUUAAUAGGUUUGGUGCUUAUCUUCUAAUAACAUUUAAAUGUCACAAACUGUAGCACAAAUAAUAUAAUUUAUAAUUUACAAAUUGACUAAAAUUGGGUAUAGUAUGGUAUUUGAAAGAAUAAGCAUAUGCUUCUGUUUAUUAAAAAAAGAAACCUUCCAAUGUCCAAAACUGCUAACCCUCGACAUGGCCGCCAAGUUAGUCGCUCCUUGCUAACCAGUGAGUGACCGCGGCCCCAAGCCUGGGGCUGGACGCAGGUCCCAGGACGUGCUGCUCCCUUGUGUGAGUGACCACAGCCCCGAGCCCGGGGCUGGACGCAGGUCCCAGGACGCACUGCUCCCUCAUGCUGCCUGGGCCCUUCCUCCAAGACCCUACAGAACCUGAGGGGCACCUUGGCUUCCGCCUGUGCUAGGUUUGCCAUGUCAUCUGGAAUAAUACUUGAAAUUUUGAUUUUUGAAAAAAAAAGUUUAUCUUUUGUUGAAAUCACCUGUUAUCCUUGUUUGCAAACAUAACUUUUUUGCUUCUUCUCAGGAAUACGGUUUUCAACUAUUGUCUUGCUCUUGAUAGAAACUGAGAAGCAGCACUCUGUAUUUGUGGAGGAAAGUCCUCUCUUUUGCAUAUUCUAAUAAAUGAGCCGCGUUUGCUCCUCCGC